AAAAUGGAUAGAAAACCUCUACAACUUCAGCUGAAGAAGCAAAGCAUGGAUUUGAAGGAAAUUUGGGAGAAACAAGAAAACAACGGAAAACUCACCUUCGUCUUGAGUAGGAAGAGAUGUAGUUGCGAUGGACUUGUAAUAACGAUGAUGAUGCCGCGGUGGCGUUCUGGAUGACGACGAUGAGACUUUGGUAGCGCUGGUCACAAAAUGGAGAGAAGACAAGAGAUAUGUUUUCAAAUUUGGAAGAAAGUAAAUUGUGAAAUUUUAAUUCUCUGUUUACUAGGGUAAAUACGUAAUUGUGUCUUUAUUUGUUCUUUUUUAUCCGUUUUCAUCUCAUAGGAGAAGAGAAAAUAUUAUGCUGUAGGACACUACUAUUUUCAUUUUCUCUUCACUUUCUUUGGUGAUCCAAAUAAAAGAAAAGUUAAAUUUUCA
rnacentral:lncRNA from 1 species